rnacentral:rRNA from 1 species
AGAGUUUGAUCAUGGCUCAGGAUGAACGCUGGCGGCGUGCUUAACACAUGCAAGUCGAACGAAGCACCUUGAUUUGAUUCUUCGGAUGAAGAUCUUGGUGACUGAGUGGCGGACGGGUGAGUAACGCGUGGGUAACCUGCCUCAUACAGGGGGAUAACAGUUAGAAAUGACUGCUAAUACCGCAUAAGACCACAGCACCGCAUGGUGCAGGGGUAAAAACUCCGGUGGUAUGAGAUGGACCCGCGUCUGAUUAGGUAGUUGGUGGGGUAACGGCCUACCAAGCCGACGAUCAGUAGCCGACCUGAGAGGGUGACCGGCCACAUUGGGACUGAGACACGGCCCAAACUCCUACGGGAGGCAGCAGUGGGGAAUAUUGCACAAUGGGGGAAACCCUGAUGCAGCGACGCCGCGUGAGCGAUGAAGUAUUUCGGUAUGUAAAGCUCUAUCAGCAGGGAAGAAAAUGACGGUACCUGACUAAGAAGCACCGGCUAAAUACGUGCCAGCAGCCGCGGUAAUACGUAUGGUGCAAGCGUUGUCCGGAUUUACUGGGUGUAAAGGGCGUGUAGGCGGAGAUGCAAGUUAGGAGUGAAAUCUAUGGGCUCAACCCAUAAACUGCUUCUAAAACUGUAUCCCUUGAGUAUCGGAGAGGCAAGCGGAAUUCCUAGUGUAGCGGUGAAAUGCGUAGAUAUUAGGAGGAACACCAGUGGCGAAGGCGGCUUGCCGGACGACAACCGACGCUGAGGCGCGAAAGCGUGGGGAGCAAACAGGAUUAGAUACCCUGGUAGUCCACGCUGUAAACGAUGAAUACUAGGUGUGGGGGGACUGACCCCCUCCGUGCCGCAGUUAACACAAUAAGUAUUCCACCUGGGGAGUACGACCGCAAGGUUGAAACUCAAAGGAAUUGACGGGGGCCCGCACAAGCAGUGGAUUAUGUGGUUUAAUUCGACGCAACGCGAAGAACCUUACCAGGACUUGACAUCCAACUAACGAAGUAGAGAUACAUCAGGUGCCCUUCGGGGAAAGUUGAGACAGGUGGUGCAUGGUUGUCGUCAGCUCGUGUCGUGAGAUGUUGGGUUAAGUCCCGCAACGAGCGCAACCCCUAUUGUUAGUUGCUACGAAAGAGCACUCUAGCGAGACUGCCGUUGACAAAACGGAGGAAGGCGGGGACGACGUCAAAUCAUCAUGCCCCUUAUGUCCUGGGCUACACACGUAAUACAAUGGCACUAAACAAAGUGAAGCGAGACAGUGAUGUUAAGCAAAGCACAAAAACAGUGUCCCAGUUCGGAUUGUAGUCUGCAACUCGACUACAUGAAGCCGGAAUCGCUAGUAAUCGCAGAUCAGCAUGCUGCGGUGAAUACGUUCCCGGGUCUUGUACACACCGCCCGUCACACCAUGGGAGUCGGAAACGCCCGAAGCCGGUGGCCUAACCGUAAGGAAGGACCCGUCGAAGGCGGGUUCGGUGACUGGGGUGAAGUCGUAACAAGGUA